rnacentral:rRNA from 1 species
ACUCCUACGGGAGGCAGCAGUGGGGAAUUUUGGACAAUGGACGCAAGUCUGAUCCAGCAAUGCCGCGUGCAGGACGAAGGCCUUCGGGUUGUAAACUGCUUUUGUACGGAACGAAAAGCCUUCUUCUAAUACAGGAGGGUCAUGACGGUACCGUAAGAAUAAGCACCGGCUAACUACGUGCCAGCAGCCGCGGUAAUACGUAGGGUGCAAGCGUUAAUCGGAAUUACUGGGCGUAAAGCGUGCGCAGGCGGUUGUGCAAGACAGGUGUGAAAUCCCCGAGCUUAACUUGGGAAUUGCACUUGUGACUGCACGGCUAGAGUGCGGCAGAGGGGGAUGGAAUUCCGCGUGUAGCAGUGAAAUGCGUAGAUAUGCGGAGGAACACCGAUGGCGAAGGCAAUCCCCUGGGCCUGCACUGACGCUCAUGCACGAAAGCGUGGGGAGCAAACAGGAUUAGAUACCCUGGUAGUCCACGCCCUAAACGAUGUCAACUGGUUGUUGGGAAUUAACUUUCUCAGUAACGAAGCUAACGCGUGAAGU